AUACUUAGCUGGCAGGGGAGAUACCAUGAUCAUGCAAGUGGUUUUCCCAGGGUGAGGCUCUUCCAUUGCUGCCCCUGUGAGUUUCCCAAAUGUAGGAAACUCGACUGCAUAAUUUAUGGUAGUGGGUGACUGUGUUUGCUCUCUCUCCCC
ensembl:snRNA U1 U1 spliceosomal RNA